rnacentral:misc_RNA from 1 species
GAAAGGGCACUACAUGAGAAGUUCCCUGCAUGUUCUGUUGCUGCAAAGAAAAGAAUCUGCACAACAACUACAAUUUUGGAUGUGCAAGGCUUAGGGAUUAAGAAUUUCACAAGGACAGCUGCUAGUCUUUUGGCGGCCAUGGCAAAAAUUGAUAAUAGCUAUUAUCCUGAGACACUGCAUCGGAUGUUCAUUGUCAAUGCUGGCCCUGGCUUCAAAAAGAUGCUCUGGCCAGCAGCUCAAAAAUUUCUGGAUGCAAAGACUAUU